rnacentral:tRNA from 1 species
GCCGCUUUAGCUCAGAUGGUAGAGCAAUGGACUGAAAAUCCAUGUGUCCCCAGUUCGAGUCUGGGAGGCGGCA